CCGGGGGGGCCGAGAGCACACAAGGAGGUGUCUGUUCUCUUUCCUGUUGCUUGUUUUGUCAGAUGUGAGCGGCUGAAUGUGUCUGAAUGUGUCUUUAUGCGUCGGAAUGAAAACCAGCGGCGGACAAAGAAGCCUCCACAUGAGCUCCGAGACAACUUUGGAUGCAUUAUUCCAGAUCGUCACUUGCAUCAAACCCGCCGGCCUUUGUUUACCUAAUGUGGAGACUUCAGUCCACAAAAUGUCUCACCAGAUAUCGUAAAAACCGCUUUCGUAGCAGUCGACUGCUGACUUAGUCUUUGUUUAAUAGGAACCUCAUGCGGGACUUUGGCCCUACACGCCUUCCUUCAUUCUUUCCCUCUUUCCUCUGAUGGCAACAAACGGCCAGAUUGAGGGUGUGCGUUGUGGCCGUCGUCCAUCGUUUCGAUGGAAUUUGGGAGAAAAAGAAAAGAGAAACUCUGAUGAAGUCCCAGAAGAAACCUUUGUUGGCAGGUUGCACCACUUGAGCUGUUUCCACUUGAGCUGGAUUAAAGCAAGCCACCUCGAUGGUAGACGGCGCGACGGCUCACCUUCCUCCUGUCAAGUGUCACUUCCUCUGAGCUGUUUGUCUCACUUUAAAGUUCCCCUUUCGUGGCCGAGGCGAGUGCUGCACGCUGGCUGAAAGCGAGGAAGUCAGACGCGGCGGGGGGGGGGGCUUCGCCUCAGAUCGGCCGAGCAACAAAGGACUGCGGUUCAAAGCCAAGCGAAAUGAAGAGAGCGGCGGCCCUCGACCGCCCCGCUUACACCGUGCACAUGUGCGUUUUAUCACGCCGAAACCCGAUAGCGAGAGCAGCGUUCAUCCUCUCACUGGAGUUUCAGCUGCAGAAAGGGAUGAAAUUCGGCCAACCACCAACUGCGUCUGACACACAUUCCACGCGGCGAGCAGUUCAGAGGUCAACUAUUUGCAGAAGCAGCGGGGCGGCAGCAGAGGCUUAUCGAAUGUGUGUGAUGUCCAGUCGUGUGCGUUCACACCCAGCGCGUGUGAGAGGUUUGCUUGACCUCUGCAGCCUUUUCUCCUUCCUUUAAAAGGGAACGCCAUAUUAUUUACCGAUACUCUGUGGUUGGAUGGGGAGGAGGUAACAGAGAAUGAAG
ensembl:lncRNA